rnacentral:lncRNA from 1 species
AAAGAUAUGCUUGCACUGCUACUAGUAUGGAUGCCAUUCACAUGCAUAUGAUGCAUUGCUUCAAGCUAUGGUCAAGUUAUGUUAAUGUUUACCUACAAUAAGUUGUUGAAUGUUUGGGGACAACUCUGGUUGAACCAUGUGUUUGUCUGAAUUACAUAUAUGUUAUGCAUUUAUGCAUGUGUGUGAGCUCACAAGCCUAUUUAUUUG